rnacentral:rRNA from 1 species
CCCUUAGAUGUUCUGGGCCGCACGCGCGCUACAAUGGGUGGUAGAACGUGUAACUGCUCCCGAAAGGGAGGGUGAACCACGAAUACUUACCCGUGAAUGGGAUAGUUUGUUGCAAUUUUCGGACUUGAACUAGGAAUCCCUUGUAAGAAUGCUCAAGAAUAGCGUGCUGAAUACGUCCCUGCCGUUUGUACACACCGCCCGUCGUUUCUUCCGACUGAUACUCAUUGUGAGUUGCAAGGAUUCUUAUUGAAAAAUUGCUGCGAAUGCUUUGUAUUGGAGGAAGAAAAAGUCGUAACA